UAUAUACUCCCUUCUUCCGAAAAUACUUGUCAUCAAAAUGGAUAAAAAGAGAUGUAUUCAGAACUGAAAUACGUCUAGAUGCAUCUCUUUAUAUCUAUUUUGAUGACAAAUAUUUUCGGACGGAGGGAGUACUAC
rfam:Triticum aestivum genome assembly, contig: Triticum_aestivum_CS42_TGACv1_scaffold_320544_4BL